CAAAUAUAAAUUGUCCAACCCGCUACUUCUUCCAAAAAACCAUAUCCAUAAACUCUCUUACGGCAAUCUCCCUUCCAUCAUCACAACUCUUUUCUCUCACGGCAACCUCUCUUGGCUCUCUCCCUCACGGCUCUCUUUCUUUCUCUCCUGUGAUUCUUUCUCCAUGUAUUUAUAUUCUACACAUUUUAAGCUUUCCGGGGAAUGUCUAUUAACUCAAUUGGACAUUGUUUGAUAUUUUAAUUAAAUAGACAAAGUUGAAGUCCGGCUACUAACAAACUGAAUUUUGGGACUGAUUCGGUAGAAUUGUAUACACACAAGGUAUUUGAUUAAUUCAUAUAUAUAAAUUUUAUGAUUGUUCAUAUAUGAGUGUUUCUGUUUGUGAUAUCUGAGAUUGAAUAUGUUAGUUACACUUUGUUUGGAUAAACAACAACUUAACCAAGCGCUUAUGUUAUAAGUUUUUUUUAUCAUAUAAGUGUCUAUUUAUAAGAGCCCCGCAGACAAAUCUAUGGAUCUCCCUAAAGACUUUGUUUUUGAGGAAUUACAGGUAUCAUAUUGUUGUUGAUGUUUGUUGGCAUAUAAAUGAUUUUACUCAUACA